rnacentral:sRNA from 1 species
UGAAUCAGAUUUAGGGUUCCACUGUAAGC